rnacentral:rRNA from 1 species
AUGAACGCUAGCGGGAGGCCUAACACAUGCAAGCCGAGCGGUAUAUACUGGAACGAAACUUCGGUCUAGAGAAGGUAUAGAGAGCGGCGGACGGGUGAGUAACGCGUAGGCAACCUGCCCCAUACAGAGGGAUAGCCUCGGGAAACCGGGAUUAAAACCUCAUAACACGAGAGUUUCACAUGUUACUCUCGUCAAAGAUUUAUCGGUAUGGGAUGGGCCUGCGUCUGAUUAGCUAGUUGGUGAGGUAACGGCUCACCAAGGCAACGAUCAGUAGCCGACCUGAGAGGGUAAUCGGCCACAUUGGAACUGAGACACGGUCCAAACUCCUACGGGAGGCAGCAGUGGGGAAUCUUGCACAAUGGGCGAAAGCCUGAUGCAGCAACGCCGCGUGAG